rnacentral:lncRNA from 1 species
CUGUCCGAGUACAAAUUUCCUCCAAGUCUGACCCAACUGAGCCUAUCAAAUACUGAGUUAAUGGAGGAUCCUAUGCCGACACUAGAAAAGCUUCCACACCUUGAGGUGCUGAAACUAAAGCAGAACUCGUACUUAGAAAGAAAGCUGGCUUGUGUUGGCUGUAGCAGUUUUUCGCAGCUCAAGAUUUUGCACCUAAAAUCAAUGCUAUGGCUGGAGGAGUGGACGAUGGGGGCAGGAGCAAUGCCAAAACUUGAAAGCUUAAUUUUGAACCCUUGUGCGUACUUGAGAAAGCUUCCUGAGGAGCUUUGGUGCAUAAAGAGCUUAUGCAAAUUGGAGUUACAUUGGCCUCAGCCAGAGUUGAGACAAAGGCUACGAGCUUUUGAGGAUAUGGAGUGGCGGUAUGACAUCCAGUUAUAUCCAUCUGGAAUAUAACGGAUUGAAAGGGUUGAGAGUUUUACUUGAUAAUUACUGAUCUGGUAUGACUUUGUUUCACCUACUCAAUAGGUUUUAUAAAUGUGCUAUAUGUAGUAAAACCUUCAAGGGUUCAAAUUUUAAUUUAUUAUUCUGUGUCCUUUGACUUGUGUAGGAAAAGUCAAAGGGGGAAGAAUCAUAUAUAUCUGCAAUCUGGCUUUCAAUUUCAACUGUAAUUUCAGCAUUGAUCCGUUCAAUUCUCUUUAUUUGAGCUCCCCUUUGGGGACAUUAUUUUGUGGCGGAUUUGCCGCCAGAGAUGCCAUGGUUAGUCUAUUGUCUAUAAACUUGAAUAAGGUAAGUUUUUUCUGUUCAUGAAUGUAUUAAGAACUGCUGUGUGAUCCGAAUUCUACAAAAAAGACAUCUAGUCGAAGUUUCAUUAGUGUUGUUCAUGAAUGUAUGGUUUUGGCUGUCUUUGGACCGUGUGGAAAAAGACAUCGAGUCAAAUUUUCAUCAAUUGACUGAGGAAAUUGCAACAAUUUAAUGAUGCCUUAGUGAACUCAUACCUUAUAUGAAUUUUAAUUGUAUGGCAAUAGGAUAUGUAUGAAUUAAAAUUUGUAAAUUAGUAGUGUUACUUGUAAUCCCUCACCAGCAAGAAUAUAACUUGUAAGGUAAAGUUCAGAUCAGCAUUCAUUGGCUUAACUGCAGACCAGAAAUGCUUGAUCUUGAACCGUUUGAUCGGUCCAAGAAAAUAAACAUCACUUAAGUUACAUCAAUAAUUGGUGUAAUGUAGAUAAGUUUCAAUAUUGCUCAAAAUAUAUUGCUCUAAGGAAAAAUCGACAAUGACUAGAAAUGAACAUAACUUUAAUUGAUAUUAAUAUAUUUACCAUUAAACAGUUGUGUAAGUAUUAAGACAUCCAAAAUUGCAAAUAUGCAUGUUAAAAAACAAAUCCACGAACCAAAACUACCCAAAAUAGUGUCUUUGAGCUCCAAAGUAACACCCAUGUAUAGCCAGCAUUUUAUUUCAGCCCAUGUGAUGCAAGCUAUAAUUCAUUUGAAUUAUUUAUUAGAAAAGAGAAAAUAAGAUAGUUUUACGGAUAUUUCAAGUUUCAUGUUUCACCGGCACAAUUUAUGCCAAGUCCAUAAUGGAACAAAUAAUGUGUAACCUUAUGACCCACCCAAUAACAGAAUCAGAUGUAGUAUGCACAAAUUGCACAAUCAGAAAAGCAUCCUACAGAUCCAGCGAUUUAAUCUUUUAACCUUAUGACCCAACCAAUCUCGAUCUGUAACCUUUGCUUUCUGAUGUUUAACACAUUAUCUCAUCCUGGCAAAAAAUCUGAAAUGUUUUACGAGAGAAUUAAUCUUGAUAAAGGGCUUUUGGCGGUAAAAAAUAUUGCUUUAAUUAUAAAAAAAUUGAUUCAACCAAGUUGACCUAAAGGUUAUAUAAAUCUUGAUUUAGACGAUAUCAAACAACAUGUUAAGGGUAAAAUAGAAAAUAUAUUAUUUUAAUCUCACUAGUUCUUGAAGGACAUAUAUCAUCUACGUGAGCUCAGUUCAAAACAUUCAUGGUCAAAGCUCAGUAAAGUCAAGGACAAGCAUUAGAGAUACUAUCUAUCAUAGGUGAUAUUUCUUGUCGCAUUUUUUGUAAGGCUAGUAUGAUUAAGCAUUUAAAAGCUCAAUUUAUUGUCAUGAUCAUGGAACUUAAGUUUGUUUAGUUUUCAUAUUGAAAAGUUUCUAUUCUUGAAUAAAAUGAAGAUUAAAGUGUUUUUAUCAAAAUGAUUGCCUUCAAGUAUAUGGACUAAUUUUUGGAGAAUUUGAAUGAUUAAACACUCAAAACCACUCUUUUUUUCUUAUGAACUCAAUACAACUCCUCAAUUACAACUCUUUUAAAACUAAGAAGCUUUACUACUUCUUGUUGCUUAAACCAACUAAGAGAGGAGGUAUUUAUGCUUGUUACAACUUAAUCAUAACCAUAUAUUAACCAAACUACUGCACAAACCAAACCUAACAACCCUACUCAACCAUACAAAUUCUACUUACCACAUUACACUAUAAAUCUUAACUACCUAAAGAAGCUUCCAUGGACUAGAUCAUUUGGGCUUCAAUGUUGUAUGGAUCAAGUUUAUGAGCUAACACUAAUUUGGAAAGUUUUUGAAAGUUUUUGAAAAGUUUUUAACUAUUACCGGAUAACUCAAACUUUAGUUACUUGCCUAAUUUUUGUAUGCCAUUUUUUCCGCACUUCCUCAUUACAUUUAAAUAUGAGUAAUGAUACAGCCACAAACUCUUGUACAAAUUUAUUUUGUACAAACUGAUGUGGCAUGAUAAGAUUGGUUGAAUUAAAUAUCACUUGGCCCGCAUGAUUUAUUUUUAUUAAUUUAUAUUUUCAUUCAACCAAUGAAUUAAUGCCACGUCAGUUUGUACAAAAUAAGUUUGUACAAGAGUUUGUGGCUGUAUCAUUACUCUUUAAAUAUAUCGUCAGAUUUAAAUAUAUCGUAAAACCUUCAAGGGGCCAUACAAAUGCCAACUAAGUGUGAUGAUACGUGCAAAUUAUGCAUGCAUGCAAUAUGUUCGUGGGUAGCCAACAGCGGCGUUGAUGAUGAAGCAGAUAUAGUCAUAUUUGUUGAGAUGGUCAAGACGGUAGACUUAGUUAGACGAAUAGGCUGCUUAACUUAAGCAUAAGUGGUAGCAUGGUUACAUGUUUGUUUCCGAUUAUUUUGCCUUGUUGUUGCAGUUGUUUUGCUACAUUAUCUGUCACGUUUGUAAGGCUAUAAAUAGCCAAAAGCAUCUGGAUAAUGGGGAAGAGAUUUUCAGCGAAAGAACUCUUCCUUCCUUUCUUAACUUCUCCGACUUCUACUUCUUCUUAUCUAAAUUCAUUCAUAUCAUGUGAUUGCUUCAAUCUCAAAAUUAUGUCUCAACAUAGGCUCAACUUGAGUAGCAAAACAGAGUGGGAUAGCCACGUAUUACAGCAGACAAACAAAGAAAGAUCCCUCCCUCUGAAAUCUAUCUAAUAAGAACAGUGAAAGCAUAUUGUCUUUUAUGAUUCUUAUUUCCCUUUAUUUGUUGUGUAGGUUAAAUUACAGUGGGAAACGUCACAGGCCAAACGUUCAAUUUCAACUGUAAAAUCAGCUUUGAUCCAUUCAGUCUCCGUAUUCAGCUGUCUAUUCACAAAAUAAGUCCUCACGAGGCAAGGCAUUGUUUUUGCUUUGUAGAUUUCAAGGAUUUGCUAUAAGUGGCGCCUUUUUUGCAGUAAAUGUUUUCUAGAGACUUAAAUGGUUGUAUUCCUUAAUUUAAACUUAGGAUUUACAUUAUUAUUUUCUUAAAUCUUAGGAGUAUAGAUGCUCCUUUUCCUUCCAACAGUGAUAUAUUUAUAACUGAGACUACAAUAAAUAAAUUUAUUAUGGCGCAACCUAAAUUUCUGCUCUUACUAAUUAAUAAUUUUGGAGGAAAAUCUAUAUUGGUAUUGGAGAAAAUCUAUAUUGGUUUCUAUUCCAGACCAAUUGUACAAUUGGGAGCGGAAUAGAGUCUCAGUGCACGGAACAAAAACUCCGAACAGCUUUAUUUGCUUCUGAAACUCUAAUAUUGAACCAAAAUCAGUUCUAAAAUCCGACAAGAAUUCUCAAAUGAAAGCUAAACCUUACUUCGGUACAAAUUGCAGAAAAUUUUGUGCAAUGAACGAAAUACAAGUGGAAACAUAGAAAAAAAAAAUGCAUGCAAAAGAGAGACGAAUCACCAGCCAGCAAGUCAAGGUCAGAGAUAGGCGAGUGCACUCAGUGAGUUGAGGACUUUAAACGGAAAAGGUCGAAAGAAGUUCUUUUAUUUUAUUUUAUUUUCAAUAUUUCCAAAACUACCUCAACUCUAUUAAUAAGAGGGGGGUUAAAAUCCUAACACAAACUUUUAAGCUGCUAGCUGAUUAAAACUUGACGAGUUGUGUAAUCGCAAGUAGAAUUUGUCUGAGGGUGAGUGAAAACAAUUACAUCGCACUCAAGCCAGUAGGAGUUUGGGAUAUUUAUAAAAAAUGGGUGCAUUUGAACUCAAUUGCAAAUGAGUUUGGGAUAUUUAUAAAUAAUUUGGAUUCUAAAUGAUGUGGCAGUCAUUUAAAACGGGAUUAACCCUUCAACAAAUUAAUCAAAAAAUUAUUAUAUAUAGUACAACGGGAAAACCGUCCUCUAAGUACUUAUUAUUUUUUAAUCCUCUAGCUCUUUGAGACUUCUGCUGAAGUUUUGAACACAAUAAUCCGAAGGAAAAAAUUAUGGGCCACAUGGAAAUUUUGAUAGGAUUAUUACUGUGCCUAAGGAAGCAAGCAUAAGUAGUUAUUGUGAAAAUACACUGAAAAAUGGAACAAAUAAUCCAAUAAAUACAGUGACAGAACCGAAAGGCUUGUUACUCGGUGGUGGAUAAUAUAGCCAAGGAAUAAUUAUUUUCUCCUUCCAUUUCCAUGCAACUCUUUCACUUCUUACUUUGUAAAUAAGCUCAGAAAUGCAAACGAUCAUGGUGGCCAUAGACAUUAACAUGCUAAGUAAUGCGUACUGGAUUUUAUGGGCCGAUGAAAGUUGGUCGAAAAUAGCCGACGGAACCUCUAGCAUGAAAUUGACAAUGACAAAGGUUUGCUCUGGCGUAAGCUGUAUUACAAAUUUAUCAUCUAGUUAUACAAGGAACUAGGAUAUACGAAAAUUUUUCAAUCCGAAAUUAAAAUUAGCGAUUGUAGUCCGGGAUGAGUUUAUAACACUGUAAAUGGACCUUUACAUUAUUACUGCAAAAUAUUAAAAAAAUAAUUUAUAACUAUAAACUCCUCCUAAAUAUUAAUCUUGGAAUUUAAUUCCGGACCUAAAACUGAUUUCUGAGAUGUAUAUUGAAGAUAUGUAGAUUUAUGGGAUAAUAACACAGAUCCUUAUCUUUCUUCAUCAUUACAAAAAAUACAAACAUUUUGUUUUUAAUUUUCCGGAAAUGGGUUCCUGACAAAUGGUAAUGAUUAAAUAGUUUUGGUGUUAAGCUAAAUACUGUCGGUGAAAAUCUAAUACUAAAAGAUUAAUUUUUUUCAUUUUAAAAAAUCAAGGCUUAAUAAUUAAUUACUUAAUACAAAUGGCAAUAAUGAGCUUAUUAGUUGAAAUAUUAAACUCUCCUUUUGUAAUUUUUUUUUUUAAAAAAAAACUGUUUUUGUGUAUCUACUAUUUUACCCAAGAUGUGCUGUAAAAUCUCACAAUUGGUCCAAUAAAACUUUCUAUUUAUAAAAUAGUACGAGAAAAAAGAAAGUUGAAACUAAGAAUAUUUGUUUUUAAAGGGCAUAAGAGUUUUGAUAGAUUUUGAAACAUGUGGAGGCAAACCAUUAAUAUAUUUUUGGAAAGGUUAAAUUCUUUACCUUUCGAGUUGGGUGAUCUCUCUUGAGAUCCACCUUCGGAUCUUCAAUAUCGCCAAUAUCAUUUUCUAUUUCUGCUUCGAUUCCUAUAAAUUUGGAGUUCUCAUCAGUUGCUUCAGGUACGAACGGAGGAAGAUCAACAUGAGAAUGAGGGUCAUCGUCCUCAGUUGUUCUACUACUCUGGAAUACAAAUGCAGGCCAACUAUUAUUCCAGUAUUUGAUUUUUAAUUGAUGUAACAGUUUAUUUGUAAUCGGCACACCGAGAUACCUGGCCGUACUCAUAAAUUAAAAGGGACGAUGAUUGACUGACCUCUGGACUCAAGUCAUCUUUUAUAUGUGGUUCCGUGGGAUUGAGAUCUACAGCAUCGUCCUCUUCCGCAUUUAUGCUCAGGUAAAUAGAAGAGGGUGAUGACCCAACAUCAGAAUGGGUGCUAUCACUCUCAUUUGUCCUUGAGCCACUACCCUGAAAUUCAUCAUUAAAAAACUAAUGCAGUUAACCUAGAGAUGGCACUCUCACACAGAUUCCGCCAAUAAAUCAAUGUGCAAUUAAUGCAUGUGUACAUAUAUAUAUAGUAGAGAAGAAAAUUCCACAUAUACAGUAUGUACGGAAAAAGAAUAAAUUGAAACUCGAUUGCCAGGAUGGGGAAUGCCUUCUUGAGUUUGGUCUUGUAUUGCCAUACAAUAAUGUUAGAUUUACAGAGUUGUGACACAAAUUAAAUUUGGAUCCUAACUAAUGCUAUUUAUGUGUCAUUUACUAUUCUUUGAGACCUAAUCUGAUAAUUAAUUGUUGAGUUUCAUCAUUUCUCUAUUCUCAUCUAUGCUCAACGCAAAUAAAAAAUACGAACAAAUAGAGAAAAAUGAUAUGCUCACCCCACUGCUAAACGCCCUUACCUUGAACCCCACUCAAGCAAAAAUAGUUUUCAAAAAAGAAAAUUUGAUAUACAAUUCCAAAAAAAAAAAAAAAAAAGCUUGAGUGGGUUUGGGGUUUAUUGAUUGGGGAGAGUCGUACGGUUAUGAUAAAUAGAAACCUCGAUCACUUGGGAUCGGGAUCGCUUGUUGAGUUUAGUCUUCUUAAGAAGCUCGUCAUGUCGUUUCUUCAUUUCAGCAACAGCAGCUCUCAUUUUCCUUUGACCUCCUCUGGUAGCACUCUUGAUAUCGACCCUGAAGUCUUUCAAAAACUUACCAUUUUUUAAUGCAGUAAGAAAUUAAUCUUUUUUCCCUCUCUUAUAUAUACUACGUCGCAUGCCCACUGUUUCCUCUGUUUAAUUAAUUUGUCAGUGCAUUCAAUUGCUGGGAAUCAAGGCUGCAGUGUUUUACAACAACAUUUAAUUAGAAUGAAAUUGAAGAGAAGGGAGGGUUUGAAAAUAACCCUUGACAAAACGGAUAAUGAUCAGGCCAACGAUGGUUUCUAGGUAAAAGGUCUUGGUAUGCAUGUCUUUACUUGGAGAAUUAAUAUUGGUAUGAUACUAUGAUCACAGAUGAGAGAAUGUUUGUCCGUGCAACUUUAUCGUGGCAUAUAUCACAUAUACGAUAUUAUUAUAAAUUCCCCUACCUAGGAUUCGUCAGUUAAUUUUAUUUUAAGUUGACACAUUAAUGCGUACGCACACGCAAGGGGUUAGGUUAUGCUCAAACACGGGACUUUCGCUCGAAUACCACACUAAUUAAUGAAGUCAUUUAACCUAAGCUAAUUAUGUAAGAAUAUAGCUCAUGUUUUACAAAAUGGAAAAAGUCGCCCGCACCCCCAUUUUUUUUUUUAAAUAAAUGGUCACACCCAUGAGUUUUAUAAAUGGUCAUACAAAUCCGAAAUAAAAAUUUAAUAAUAAUUAUAAAUAUAAAAUUUAAUAAUAAUUAUAAAUACCAUAGAUAUUAAGAUAAAAUAAUUAAUAAAAAUAAAAUAUAUUAAAUAUAAUUAAUUAAAUGACAUAUAUAUGAUAUGAAAAUUAUUUUUAAUAUUAAUCUAAUAUAGACAUAAUAAAAAAUUUAUUAAAAAAAUAUAUAAUACAGAUUUUGUAAGUUAUGUUGAAUAUUAAAUGCAAUUAUUUGAAUAUUAUAAACUUUUGCAUGAACAUGUUUUACUAAUAUUAAAACAUAUCUGUCAUAUCAAUAAUAUUAAUACAAUUCUUUUAAUAUUCAAAAUGAUUUAUAAAAUUUAUAUUAUUUUUUUAUAUUAGAUCAUUUUAAUAUAGAAUUUUUUAAGUCAUUUUUAUUGUAAUAGUUGAAGGGUAUAAUCAUAAAAUAGAGGUGUGUGUGAUCAUUUACGAAACCCUUAUGACUUUUCAUUAGGAAAAAGACACCUACACUCUCAAGCUUUGAGGAAAUGGUCACAAAGAUACUUUAGUUUUCAAAAAAGGACACCAAAACCCCUUUAGUAAUUAGAAAAUUGAUUUUAUAUUUUUUUAAUUAAUACAAAUUUCAUACAAAUAAUAUAAUCUAUCUAGUAGACUAAUAAUAUUAAAUUACUUUUUAACAUUUACAAUAAUAUUAAAAUUUUAAAUUAUUAUAUUUUCUUUAAUAAUAUAAAAUUAAAAAAUAUCUUAGGUUUUGAUUCAAGGUUUUUAAGUUUCUUAUUGUUCUUUUUUUCACUUUUUUUAUUAAUGAUGAUACUGAAUAGAUGGUUUGGGGCUUCCUGCUAUUGGAAGGCUAUAUAUAAAUCUAUCAUUUGGCAACGGAAAGAAGAAAUAUAAAAUCAAAUUUGCUAUAGAUGUUGAAUAUUAAAUGCAAUUAUUUGAAUAUUAUAAACUUUUAUUUUUUCUCUCCUAAUUAUUAAUAUGGUGGAGUUAGACAGUUGUCGGAGUUAGAACAUAUUUCCCUAGAUUAUUAGUGAAGAUAAAAAUUUAGGCUGUUAAGAAUAGGUCCCAACAGAUGGCUGAUUGUAAUAAAAAAUACCAAAUAAAAAAAAAUGCUCAAGAUGCAAUUAGUCAACAACAUAUGAGUCGUUGUGACAAAUGCCACAGUUUAAGCUUGCAUAUUAUACAAAUGUAUAUAAUAGUGUACAAACUGGUCUUAAAGCGUUGUUAAUUUCUUUGGAGUCAUCGACGGUCCGGCCGUUCACUAUAUAUGUUUUUUGUAUUAAAAAAAAAAUAAUGCAUGCGAGGAUUCGUACAAGUUUUUUAUAUCCAGAUAAAGAGUCCAACUAGAAAGAGACAAAUCCUAAUGAUAUGACCACUAACUGAGCUAUUUACUGCAUCUUGCUCUCUUUCUUUUGGAUGCUUCUUAAUUGUUGUUGUCUUCUUAAAGAACAAGAAUAAUAUAUAACUUAUUAAAUAGAGCUUAUAGAAGUAGAACUUAUACCAAUAGAGUUUUUGGACAAAAAGUCAUUGGGUGUUUGGUUGUCAAUUAAAAAAAUACUUUUGAACCAUUAAACAGUUUGGUUGUGUAAAAUUAAAAGUGCUUUUGUGUAAUUAAAUUACCAAAAAGGAUAUGUAUUUAUAAUUAUUUAACAUGUAACAAAAUGCAUCCAAGCUAUCAAUUAAUAAGAAAAAAUCAGUUCAAUCAUUUCUUUAAUUUUCAAAAUUAAAAAUUUCAUAAUUGAUAUAUUCUCCUAAACAAAUAAUACUAUUCAAAUUAAAAUGAUAAUUAAUAAUAUAAUUGAAAUGUUAAUGGAACAUGAGAAGUGUCGUAUUACCUGACAUCCUCAUCACCAAAAAACGUUGGCUAUGACUAUGAUUACUCUCUCAAGUGUUGGUUAUGUAUUAGAGAUUGCAAAAUUAAAGUGCUGGUUAUUUAAAAAAAAACAAAAAGAGAUAAAGUGAAGUGGCGGCUGCAAUAUGUUUAUAUGGCGGCAACAAUUUUCGUUGGGUAGGUUUUAUACAAAGGGUAUUAUGUAAUUAAUGAAAUAUGUCAAGGAUAUUUUUGAUAUUAUAUAUUUUUUGGAAAAGCUCUCUAACCUCUACUCCCAAAAGCUCAAAUUUUGGGCUUUUGCUAGUAGAGGUAAAUUAGCUUAUUUAAGAUUAAAAAACUCUACUAAAAAAAAAACCAAACACCAUAAAAAAAAUUUAAAAAGUGCUAUGCGAUUAAAUAAGCACUUAUGACUCUUAAAUAAGCCAUACCAAACAGGCGCUAAGAAUAGCAUUUUAAUGAAAAGCAAGCUGGAGUAGCUCUGUUGGCUCGAGCACGUGGCUGUUAACCGAAGGUUGAACACUCGUAUUUUAAUUUUUUUUUUAUAUCAAAUUCCUCUCCAAUAGAAAUUUCAUCCCACCAAAUAUAUAAAUGGGAAGGACUAUUCGGACGCAGAAAAUUUAUUCAGAUCACUCAUAUUUUAACUAAAUUUUAUUUUAUUCCUAUAAUACUAGUAAGUUAAUUUGUUAUUAAGGAAAAUAUAUUAUGAUUACUCUUGGCACCCAUUCCUCUUGCUCAUUCAUCAUCCAUCUUGCGCCAUAAAUUUGUUUUCUUCUUAAAUUUUAAUGAUUCUGUCUCACUUCCUCAUCUCAUCACCGGUAGUCUCUCUCCUCUUCUUUCUUCUUCUCAACUGACUUAGCAAUUGAAAUUGCAAAGUGCGAGUAUACAAGAGAAUAUAUCGGAGAGAUGAGUUGGCAUAGAAUUGUGGUUUAAUCAUUCUUAAUCUGACUUUCCUUUAUUUUAUUAUAUUCUUUUAUUUGUCAAAAUAUGAUUUUUGUUCUUCCAUUUUGGCUAGAUUGGUGAUGGCUGAGUCUAGAGAAAGACUAGUUAUAUAAAUGGAUUUCAACGAAUAAAAAAAGAAGAAAAAACUAAUAUUCUGUUUAAAAAUAAAUAAAAACAUGUAACGAUAACGAUUUAAGUUAGGAUUAUUUUUGGAAUUUCAAAGAGUUCUAAGCAAUACUUAAUUUGAGAACAUUGAGGCUAUUUCACCCCAGUAAAAUACUCCCAACACCUAUUUUUCUAUAAAGUUUAAUACUCUUAAAUAAAUUUACUUAUAAAUCCCUUAGUCUCUUCUUCAUAAUCUAGCUUAUAGUUUCCUCUCUUAAAUACAUAUAAAACUAUUUUUACCCUUGAUGGAAGACAACAUUGACAAAACAAAGCAUUGCCCGCUGGGAAUUACUAAAGAAGAUAUUGUAACAUUUCUUAUAAUAAAAAAAAAACUGAAAAAUAAAAUCUCAAUUAUUAUUGAACCAGCAACAACGUCAUUUUCAAGUUUCAUGAAUAUAAAAUCAUGAUCAAAGCACAAGUGGCAGUUUGAUUGCAGAGGGUAGUAUUAAAUUCAUAUUUGCACAAACUCCAAAAGUCUCUUUGCUUAAUCACAAAUCCAAAUUACGGAUCAUCCUCCAUUACAAUCUUUAUAAUGCUUAAAACUAUAUUAUUUCUAAAAGUACUAGUUUUGCAAGGAUCACUCAUAAAAUUUACAGAUCUGAAAUUAUUUCGGCAAAGUUAGAAUGUUCUUUGAUGUUCACUGAUAUUGAUGAAGAAAUAGAUAUAUUUUCGGAAUUAAGUUCGGUGCUUAAAACAAUUAUAAAUUAUAAAUUUUGUUGAUGGCUACCUGAGAAAUUGAGUUUAUUCAGUAUUUUAAUAGAUUCAAACAGUCUCAUUCUUUCAAAAAAAUUUAUAAAAUGUCAUAAAUAAUAGAGCAUUUAGAGCAUUUUUUAAAGUGAAAAUAAUCACACGUAAUACAAAUUUUGUAGUUGACAACAAUAUUCAUAAAUUUAAUCUAUUACGGCAUACAAUUGGACAAGCCAUUUAAUUGCUGAAGACCAUUUGUUGACUUCUCUCCAGACUAUUUUAAUAAAGCAAAUAGAAAUUUCAUCCCGCCAAAUACAAAUUUGUGCAGCAGACUGCCAUUUACCAUCUCAAGAUUUGUGCAGCAGACUGCUUUUAUAAUUGUAAAUUUGUAAUGUUACUUGUUGUCCCUCAACAGAAAGACUCUAAAUAAGUAAGGUAAAGUCCAUUGAACAUGCAGCUUUUCUGCAAAUCAGGUCUUUGCACAAAUUUAAUCCGGUUGUGGUCUGUAGACAGUUGAUUGUUAAUUUCCAUUUUUUCCAACAAGCCAACAGUACCCUAACAUAAUCAACCCAAGCGUUUAAAGAGGAUACAAAUUUGCAGAAGCCACCAGAGUUGCAUCAACUAUUGGCGUAAAUGCAGAUAAGACUACUGAUGCAUAAAAAUGGAAAUUAACAAUCAACUUGAGCAAAACCAUAAAAAUGCCAUAGUAGUUAAGGUUAGUUCCAACGCAAGACCCAACUCGAGUGGCAAAACAGAGGCGGUUAGCCACACAUUGUGGCAGAGAAACAGAGAAAUAUCAUUCUGUAUUCUAUUUAAUAACUGUAAAAGCGCAUUUUCAUUUCUGAUUCUUAUUUUACAUUGUAGGUAAAAUCAGAGGGGGAUACAUCAUAACUGCAGCCACGCUUCCUAAUUCAUCUGUAAUUCAGCAUUGAUCCUUUCAAUACAUUUCAUUUCAGCCGUCUUUUGGGGAAGUUGCUUUGAAUUCGAUUUGCGAAUUUUUGGAAAUGUCUGCAGAAAUCUUUGUACAGGAGUGCGGUUAUGACAUACAAUUAUAUUAUAAUGAAACUUUAGCUUUAAGAAAUUUAAGAUGUUCUAUUUUCAAAAGACAUCUAGGACUAACUUUUUUUUCAUUCCCAUGCUUUAUCUUAGUUAAUUUAUUUUUUUGCUCACUGGGCACUAUAAGGCAGAGUUUAUUUCUCUCUCUCUAUUUUUUUUUUUCCAAACUAAUGCUGUUAGUUUAAGAAUCUUCGUAUUACAAUCUGGUCAUCAUUAUUUUCAUUUUAUUUUGAGACAAAAUAAUUGUUUUUGAAUUCUCAUUAGCAAAUGUACAUUGCUUUCAUUUUUAGAUGGCAAAAACAGGGAAAAAAAAAAUAAUAAAACAAGAUUGCAGGACAUCAGCACCUUAUUCUUUUCUUGAACUAAGUCUUUGUUUUGUUUAGCUUUUGUUAAGAUGCUUUAUUAACCUUCCUCCUUUUUCCUAUUGCUAGUUUGGUAUCUCUUUCAUUUCUUGAACCAAGAUAUUUGCCUUUAAUUAGAAGUAAAGCUAAAAUGCUCCUUCGCCUUUCCUCCCUUUUCUCUUAACUUGUGAUUUCUUAUGCAAUCAUUUUCAAUCGUACCAACACCAUUCAUUUAUCAAUAUCCAGUUUGAAUAAAAUUCUACAAUUUGAUUUUUUUUGCUUCUUCCACAUAAUUGUUUGAUUGUGGUGCUUUCAGUCAGAAUUAGAUAUCAUCGGGACAUUAAAUCUUUGAUUACUCAAACAAUCAAUAACAGGUAUUUUAUUAUCUGAAUUAUUCAUUUAAUAACUUCAUUUUAUUUAUUUUUAUCUCAUGAAUGUUAGAUCCACUUUAGGUUUGUGAUUAAUUAUUUUUCACAAGUUAUAUUUUUUAUUUUCAUUUUCAUAAGUAUCAAAGUCAUCACUAUCAUGCACACGUUGCUUGUACUUUUAUUGUGUAAAAAUCAUCACCCACAAAUAAUAUUAAAUGAAAUUCACUUGCCCAUUGAAAAAUAUGUGUAUAUACUAUUUUUUAAAAACCAUUAUUCUCCCUUGGAGCUUACUAUUAUUUAGUACACGAAGUAAAUAAAUAAAUAGAUAUAUAACUUGAUGGAGUUAUUUGCGAAUAGGAAUUACUAUUUAUUUAGUUUUGUGUUUCUGCAUCAGUAUUAUCUUCUCUGUUAUAUUUGCUUUUAGCAACUCAAAGUGCGGAUUGAGCUACGGUGCACCCUUCUUUUUGUAUUUUUUUGGCUGCACCCCAUAGUCUCUUCUAUAUUUACAGUUUAUUAAAGUAAUUUAUUUUUCCUCUUUCUUCAACCCCUCACUUCUACAUUCUUCUAGAUUUUUUCCAUUUUCAAUUAAACCUGUAAUCAACCAAUUGCAAUCAAUAAGAGAAACUUGACUUUCUCAUUGAAGCUACUUCCUUGUUGCCUUAAGAUUCAUUUGCUCCACAUCGCAUAAGCAAUAAUGAAUUAAACUUUUUAUAUAAAAGAAAAUCACAUAGAUACAUUUUUGUAUCCACAAUAUAUUCAUCAUACAGUGAAAUUUAGGUGUAAGAAAAUUGAAAUUUUUGAUGUUUUAUUACGCGUCUUCUUCCCCUCUUCUCUUCCAUGUGUCUCUCCAUUUGCUCCUUAAAUAAUCUAACUCUAGGGCUUUCUAAUAAUUGGAUAAUUAUUAUAAUAAUUAUUAUUAUUUUAUCAGUAAAGCUCCUCUUAUUAUGUUAAUGAGUUUGUUUUCUUAGGAAAAAAUAAUAUUUUAGCAAAUGAUCAAAAGUGAGAGCUUUAACAAAAAUUCAAAAUCUGUCUUAGUUUUCAUUGUCUUUGACGCAUCUGGCAUGUUUGAUUUCUUGAUUAUAACUUGCAAAAGUGGGUACUAUAACACAAUGACAAUGAUUAGUGAUUUGUGCUGAGAGAAUUUGGGAACAAAAGAUAUUUGUUCAUAAACAAACAACACAUCCCUGCCCUUGAAACUCCUUUUGUGUCAGAUCCAAUGGUGGCAGAACAAAGAGACACAAAGACGGGUACGGUGUAACCGUUCCACCAUAGCUAGAUCCCUCGAGUGCAUUGUUCUUCAUUCUAAUAUUUUUGCAACAUAGAAAAUAACUUACGAAAAACAAUACCAAACAGCUCCUUAGUUAGAGAUAGUUAUUUGACAACACAAGUACUCUGUUUUGCAUAUAUUUAUAUAUUUUUAAUAGCUCUGUUUGAAAAUUCCGGCUACACAGUAUAAGUGAGAGAAGGAGACAUACUGGACGUUUACCUCCGACUAUUUUGUGAGAGGUUGAAAAGGGUGUUAGCAGGUGAAGAAGGCACGUUACCGUUGCCUGAUUCAACAAAUUUAGCCCCGCUUUUUCAAAACCUUCUUAUGGAGUCCGAAAUUAUUGCUACUACUCUACUGGAAAACUAUGAAGCUGACAUGGCUCGGCUUUUGUUUCAACUCAUUAGAGAAGAAUUCGAUGAACCCAAAAUAUCUUUGCCUUUUUUGCAACUGUUGGACUUAGAAGAAAGUGAUGAAGACGUUAAAAGACAAGAUAUUUUGGAAAUUCUGGAAGACAUCAAUGACUUUGUCCAUGAAUCUGAGGAAGCCAUUGACACAUUCUUCAUCAACAUCAUGCAGCAGCAAAACAGUGAAAGUGAAAGUGAAAGCAGUACUAGUAUGGCUCUUCUUGUUGGACUACACGGUAAAAUCAUUGAUAUUAGAAAUCAGAUGCAACAGCUUCCACCUAGCGACAAUGGUUUUGAUAUCAAUGAACAAAGGGACAAACUCAUUCACUUAUUGAUUGAGGGACAAUCUCAACUUGAUAUCAAUGAAUUUGAAAGGGGCAGAGAGGAGUUGUUUGAUUUGUUGAUUGAGGGACCAUCUGGGCUUUCAGUGGUUGCAAUUCUCGACAGCAGUGGCUUCGAUAAGACUGCUUUUGCUGCAGAUACUUACAAUAAUAAUCACGUCAAGUUCUAUUUUGACUGUCUUGCUUGGGUCAGGGUUUCCAUAGUCUACGAUUUUGGCAAGAUAUUGGAUGACAUAAUCAAGUCUGUGAUGCCUCCAUCUCGGGUUAGUGUAAUUAUCGGUGAAGAUUAUCAAUUGAAGAAAUCUGUUCUUCGAGAUUACGUAACCAACAAGAAGUACUUUAUUGUGCUUGAUGAUGUCUUCGAUGAUCGUGAGAUAUGGAGUGAUCUUGAAGAAGUUCUUCCUGAUAAUCAGAAUGGAAGCAGAGUAUUGAUAUUGGUCACUGAUCCAGACCUCCUUUCGUCGUUGGAAAUGGAAAACGGAGAGAAGAUUCGGCUUGAUUCAGUGCUCAUUGGAGGACCAUUGAUCAGAUUAAAGCAUGAGGCCUGGCAAUUUUUCAUCCUACACUAUGGAAGUAUGCCAUUAGGAAAUUAUCUUCAAGGCGAAGCGAUUCCGACAGUUUGGAGACAAAUUUAUUCUGUGAUGGAGUUACCUUUUCACUUGAAAGUCUGCUGCAUCUAUUUGUGUGUCUUCCGUCCAAGUAUUGAGAUAUCUACGAGGCAAUUAUAUCAGUUGUGGGUAGCUGAAGGUUUCAUAUCAUCCAACGGUGAAGAAACUGCCGAACAUUACUUGAAAGAACUAAUCCAACGCGGCUUCAUUCAAGUGAGUAAGAGAAGAGCCGGCGGCACAAUUAAAGCGUGUUAUGUUCCAAGUCUUGAAUUUACUUCAUUGGCUUUGAUGGCUGAAAAGACGAUAUUUGUCUGGAAUCCUGGCAUGGAAGAGGAAUCACUAUCAAAUGUUAAACGGUGCUUCAUUUGGGAACAUCUGAUUGAGUUUUUAUCUUUAGAACAUCCUGACAUCUAUCUCCAAUCUUUUCUGAAUCACAGUUCAAAAACCGAUCAUCUGGCUCUGAUACAGUGCGAGAAUUUUUGUAAAAAGUUCAAACACCUUCGGGUAUUGAACUUGGGUUCUGCAGUUCUCGACCAAUAUCCACCCGGAUUAGAAAAUUUAUUCUAUUUGAAGUAUUUGAAAUUGAAUAUUCCUUCGCUCAAAUGUCUUCCUUCACUGCUAUGCACCCUUAUAAACCUUCAAACACUAGAAAUGCCAUCUAGCUACAUAGAUCGGUCACCAGAGGAUAUUUGGAUGAUGCAAAAACUCAUGCAUCUAAACUUUGGUUCCAUCACUCUGCCUGCACCUCCAAAAAAUAAUUCCAGCACUCUGAAAAAUCUCAUUUUCAUAUCAACCUUACACCCUAGUAGUUGUACUCCAGAUAUAUUGGGUAGACUCCCUAAUGUUCAAACUCUUAGAAUAUCUGGAGAUUUGAGUUGCUAUCAUUCUGGGGUUUCCAAAAGCCUAUGCCAACUACACAAACUUGAAUGCUUGAAGCUGGUGAAUGAAGGCAAGAUGCGGCAACUCUCACGGAUGAUCCUGUCUGAAUACAAAUUUCCUCCAAGUCUGACCCAACUGAGCCUAUCAAAUACUGAGCUAAUGGAGGAUCCGAUGCCGACGCUAGAAGAGCUUCCACACCUUGAGGUGCUGAAACUGAAGCAGAACUCGUACUUAGAAAGAAAGCUGGUUUGUGUUGGCUGUAGCAGUUUUCCGCAGCUCAAGAUUUUGCACCUAAAAU